rnacentral:rRNA from 1 species
UACGGAGGGUGCAAGCGUUAUCCGGAUUCACUGGGUUUAAAGGGUGCGUAGGCGGAUUGGUAAGUCCGUGGUGAAAUCCCCGAGCUUAACUUGGGAACUGCCGUGGAUACUAUCUGUCUUGAAUACCGUGGAGGUGAGCGGAAUAUGUCAUGUAGCGGUGAAAUGCUUAGAUAUGACAUAGAACACCAAUUGCGAAGGCAGCUCACUACGCGAAUAUUGACACUGAGGCACGAAAGCGUGGGGAUCAAACAGG